CAUAUUCCUAAGAAUCCACUGAGGGCACACCGCCCUGUAGACACUUGUCUUCGGAGAUGCCCGUUUAAGGCCGUCAGGUUUAGAUUCAGCACACAAAAUGCACCCAUAUUCCUAAGUAUCCGAAGAAGGUACCUCAUCCUAGGGGUUCUCGGGACUAUGACGCAGGCAGAAAAAAGAGCAGCACAGGAGGAUAUUCAUCCGAGAAUACAAAAAAGUCACUCUGCUCUGAGUGUUCUCGCCGCAGCGAAAGACUCGUCAGCAAAGUAGAUUUAUAAGCCGCACUCCUGGAAAUCCGAACACUUCGGUAAACAUUUCCAAGGUCGGUUGACAUUGUGGUCGGACAAUUAUUUUCUGAAGCUAAUAAUAGUUAAAAAGAAGCUGAGGAGUCCGACAAAGCCGUUGCAGUUCUUCAGCAGAAGCAGAGUUCAUGGACAUUGCAUGCAGAUGGAUAUUCUAUUUCAGACAUCAGUACAACAUGCUAUCAAGGAGUCGAUCACAAUAACAAUUCCACCGCCGGUGCAUUAUCGAAGCUGGCCACUACAGAUGCUUAUAACUUUGACGACAGANNN
rnacentral:lncRNA from 1 species